rnacentral:rRNA from 1 species
GACCCUGUUGAGCUUGACUCUAGUCUCAAUUUGUGAAAUGACAUGGAAGGUGUAGAAUAAGUGGGAGUAGUUAAGUGCGUCAGUGAAAUACCACUACUUUCAUCGUCGUUUUACUUACCCGGUUAGGUUUGGGUUGUGUUUUUGACACAAUUCUAGUAUAAAGACAGCUUCGCUGUUGACACACGUUGGGGACAGAAUGAGGUGGGGAGUUUGGCUGGGGCGG